AUACGGAGGGAGCAAGCGUUAUUCGGAAUCACUGGGCGUAAAGGACACGUAGGCGGGUUUGUAAGUCAGGUGUGAAAUCCUACAGCUCAACUGUAGAACUGCACUUGAAACUACAGACCUAGAGUAUGGAAGGGGCAGAUGGAAUUAGUGGUGUAGGGGUAAAAUCCGUAGAUAUCACUAGGAAUACCGAAAGCGAAGGCGAUCUGCUGGGACAUUACUGACGCUGAGGCGUGAAAGCGUGGGGAGCAAACAGGAUUAGAAACCCCGGUAGUCC
rnacentral:rRNA from 1 species